rfam:Glarea lozoyensis 74030 unplaced genomic scaffold M7I_scaffold18, whole genome shotgun sequence.
GGACAGAUGGCCGAGCUGGUUAUGGCGCCAGGUUAAGGUAUACACUUAAUCACGUUGUAAGCAAUUGCAAUUUCCUGGUCACGAAAGUGGCGUGGGUUCGAGUCCCACUCUGUUCA